UACGUAGGGUGCGAGCGUUGUCCGGAGUUAUUGGGCGUAAAGAGCUCGUAGGCGGUGUGUCACGUCGGCCGUGAAAACCUGCAGCUUAACUGUGGGCGUGCGGUCGAUACGGGCAUCACUGGAGUUCGGCAGGGGAGACUGGAAUUCCUGGUGUAGCGGUGAAAUGCGCAGAUAUCAGGAGGAACACCGGUGGCGAAGGCGGGUCUCUGGGCCGAUACUGACGCUGGAGGAAGCGAAGGCAGUGGGGGAGUCAAACAACGGG
rnacentral:rRNA from 1 species